GGAGUAAAGCAUGGGGAGGAACAGGUUAGAUCCCUGGUAGUCCAAGCCGUAAACGUUGGCACUAGGUGUGGGGACCAUCCACGGUUCCGCGCCCAGCUAACGCAUUAAUGCCCCGCCUGGGAGUAGUCCGCAAGGCUCAAACUCAAAGGAAUGACGGGGCCCGCACAAGCGGCGGAGCAUGCGGAUAAUUCGAUCAACGGAAGACCUUACCAAGGCUUGACAUGUUCUCAUCGCCGUAGAGAUACGGUUUCCCCUUGGGGCGGUUCACAGGUGGGCAGGUGUCGUCAGCUCGUUCGCGAGAUGUUGGGUUAAGUCCCGCAACGAGCGCAACCCUCGUUCCAUGUUGCCAGCACGUAAUGGUGGGGACUCAUGGGAGACUUCCGGGGUCAACUCGGAGGAAGGUGAGGAGGACGUCAAAUCAUCAUGCCCCUUAUGUCUUGGGCUUCACGCAUGCUACAAUGGCCGGUACAAUGGGUUGCGAUACUGUGAGGUGGAGCUAAUCCCAAAAAGCCGGUCUCAGUUCGGAUUGGGGUCUGCAACUCGCCCCCAUGAAGUCGGAGUCGCUAGUAAUCGCAGAUCAGCAACGCCGCGGUGAAUACGUUCCCGGGCCUUGUACACACCGCCCGUCAAGUCACGAAAGUUGGUAACAC
rnacentral:rRNA from 1 species